rnacentral:rRNA from 1 species
GGGUUGUGAGGUUAAGCGACUAAGCGUACACGGUGGAUGCCCUGGCAGUCAGAGGCGAUGAAGGGCGUGCUAAUCUGCGAUAAGCGCCGGUAAGGUGAUAUGAACCGUUAUAACCGGCGAUACCCGAAUGGGGAAACCCAGUGUGACUCGUCACACUAUCAUUAACUGAAUCCAUAGGUUAAUGAGGCGAACCGGGGGAACUGAAACAUCUAAGUACCCCGAGGAAAAGAAAUCAACCGAGAUUCCCCCAGUAGCGGCGAGCGAACGGGGAGGAGCCCAGAGCCUGAAUCAGCAUGUGUGUUAGUGGAAGCGUCUGGAAAGGCGCGCGAUACAGGGUGACAGCCCCGUACACAAAAGCGCAUGUGCUGUGAGCUCGAUGAGUAGGGCGGGACACGUGGUAUCCUGUCUGAAUAUGGGGGGACCAUCCUCCAAGGCUAAAUACUCCUGACUGACCGAUAGUGAACCAGUACCGUGAGGGAAAGGCGAAAAGAACCCCGGCGAGGGGAGUGAAAAAGAACCUGAAACCGUGUACGUACAAGCAGUGGGAGCCCCACCACUAAGCCAGUGGUGAACUCCACAUACGCAUCCUUUGCUGAGGAUACGGUUAACGGAGCGAAAGCGACGUUCAACCUCAAAAGAAGCAGAGGGGGCUUAGUGGUGGGGUGACUGCGUACCUUUUGUAUAAUGGGUCAGCGACUUAUAUUCUGUAGCAAGGUUAACCGAAUAGGGGAGCCGGAGGGAAACCGAGUCUUAAUUGGGCGUUAAGUUGCAGGGUAUAGACCCGAAACCCGGUGAUCUAGCCAUGGGCAGGUUGAAGGUUGGGUAACACUAACUGGAGGACCGAACCGACUAAUGUUGAAAAAUUAGCGGAUGACCUGUGGCUGGGGGUGAAAGGCCAAUCAAACCGGGAGAUAGCUGGUUCUCCCCGAAAGCUAUUUAGGUAGCGCCUCGUGAAUUCAUCUCCGGGGGUAGAGCACUGUUUCGGCUAGGGGGCCAUCCCGGCUUACCAACCCGAUGCAAACUGCGAAUACCGGAGAAUGUUAUCACGGGAGACACACGGCGGGUGCUAACGUCCGUCGUGAAGAGGGAAACAACCCAGACCGCCAGCUAAGGUCCCAAAGUCAUGGUUAAGUGGGAAACGAUGUGGGAAGGCCCAGACAGCCAGGAUGUUGGCUUAGAAGCAGCCAUCAUUUAAAGAAAGCGUAAUAGCUCACUGGUCGAGUCGGCCUGCGCGGAAGAUGUAACGGGGCUAAACCAUGCACCGAAGCUGCGGCAGCGAACGUAUCACUUAAAGCGAUUCAGCGGGUUACGAUUGACGGAGCGAAGCGACGUCAAAGCGUAUACAAAGUCGAGUCGGUUUAAGGAUACGUUCGUUGGGUAGGGGAGCGUUCUGUAAGCCUGUGAAGGUGGCCUGUGAGGGUUGCUGGAGGUAUCAGAAGUGCGAAUGCUGACAUAAGUAACGAUAAAGCGGGUGAAAAGCCCGCUCGCCGGAAGACCAAGGGUUCCUGUCCAACGUUAAUCGGGGCAGGGUGAGUCGACCCCUAAGGCGAGGCCGAAAGGCGUAGUCGAUGGGAAACGGGUUAAUAUUCCCGUACUUGGUGUUACUGCGAAGGGGGGACGGAGAAGGCUAUGUUGGCCGGGCGACGGUUGUCCCGGUUUAAGCGUGUAGGCUGGUUUUCCAGGCAAAUCCGGAAAAUCAAGGCUGAGGCGUGAUGACGAGGCACUACGGUGCUGAAGCAACAAAUGCCCUGCUUCCAGGAAAAGCCUCUAAGCAUCAGGUAACAUCAAAUCGUACCCCAAACCGACACAGGUGGUCAGGUAGAGAAUACCAAGGCGCUUGAGAGAACUCGGGUGAAGGAACUAGGCAAAAUGGUGCCGUAACUUCGGGAGAAGGCACGCUGACACGUAGGUGAAGUGAUUUACUCAUGGAGCUGAAGUCAGUCGAAGAUACCAGCUGGCUGCAACUGUUUAUUAAAAACACAGCACUGUGCAAACACGAAAGUGGACGUAUACGGUGUGACGCCUGCCCGGUGCCGGAAGGUUAAUUGAUGGGGUCAGCGCAAGCGAAGCUCCUGAUCGAAGCCCCGGUAAACGGCGGCCGUAACUAUAACGGUCCUAAGGUAGCGAAAUUCCUUGUCGGGUAAGUUCCGACCUGCACGAAUGGCGUAAUGAUGGCCAGGCUGUCUCCACCCGAGACUCAGUGAAAUUGAACUCGCUGUGAAGAUGCAGUGUACCCGCGGCAAGACGGAAAGACCCCGUGAACCUUUACUAUAGCUUGACACUGAACAUUGAGCCUUGAUGUGUAGGAUAGGUGGGAGGCUUUGAAGUGUGGACGCCAGUCUGCAUGGAGCCGACCUUGAAAUACCACCCUUUAAUGUUUGAUGUUCUAACGUGGACCCGUUACCCGGGUUGCGGACAGUGUCUGGUGGGUAGUUUGACUGGGGCGGUCUCCUCCUAAAGAGUAACGGAGGAGCACGAAGGUUGGCUAAUCCUGGUCGGACAUCAGGAGGUUAGUGCAAUGGCAUAAGCCAGCUUGACUGCGAGCGUGACGGCGCGAGCAGGUGCGAAAGCAGGUCAUAGUGAUCCGGUGGUUCUGAAUGGAAGGGCCAUCGCUCAACGGAUAAAAGGUACUCCGGGGAUAACAGGCUGAUACCGCCCAAGAGUUCAUAUCGACGGCGGUGUUUGGCACCUCGAUGUCGGCUCAUCACAUCCUGGGGCUGAAGUAGGUCCCAAGGGUAUGGCUGUUCGCCAUUUAAAGUGGUACGCGAGCUGGGUUUAGAACGUCGUGAGACAGUUCGGUCCCUAUCUGCCGUGGGCGCUGGAGAACUGAGGGGGGCUGCUCCUAGUACGAGAGGACCGGAGUGGACGCAUCACUGGUGUUCGGGUUGUCAUGCCAAUGGCACUGCCCGGUAGCUAAAUGCGGAAGAGAUAAGUGCUGAAAGCAUCUAAGCACGAAACUUGCCCCGA